GACGAACGCUGGCGGCGUGCUUAACACAUGCAAGUCGAACGGAACGGCCCUGCUUUUGUGGGGUGCUCGAGGGGCGACCGGGUGAGUAACACGUGAGUAACCUGCCCCUGACUUUGGGAUAACUUCAGGACACUGGGGCUAAUACCGGCUAGGAGCUACUGCUGCAUGGUGGGGGUUGGUAAGUUUCGGCGGUUGGGGGUGGACUCGCGGCUUAUCAGCUUGGUGGAGUGGUAGUGGCUUACCAAGGCUUUGAAGGGUAGCAGGCCUGGUCGGGUGACCGGCCACAUUGGGCUUGGGAUGCGGCCCGGACCACUACGCGACGGAGCGGUGCGGUAUAGUGCACUAUGGGCUGAAGCCUGAUGCGGCAACGCCGCGUGCGGUAUGACGGCCAUCGGUUUGUAUUCCACUGUCCCCUUUGACGAAGUGUUAGUGACGGUAAUGGGUAAAUAAGCUCCGGCUAACUACGUG
rnacentral:rRNA from 1 species